GAGUGGCAGCAUAUUUAUUGUUCUGAAAAGGAGAAGUAUAUUUUACCUGUUUGUAUGUGUGAGUCACUGAGCUUGUGUUUGUUCAUUCAUAGCUCUAUCAAUCAAUCUUUAUUCAGUAAUUGUUGAGAUAUUUUGUAGUCUACUCAAAGUUCGGCCAAGACAGUCCAAUAUGUCCAGCAUUAUGUAUUUUCAGAAUUACACUAAUAAACAAAUACAUUUAAGGUCUAUUGUACAUGCUAUUGUUUGACCAGGGAAGCGGCUGAAUAAUUGGUGGAGGACAUGUUGCCAUAUUGCCUAGUUUUUGAAAGUUCUGAAACCUUGUUAAAGUGAUACUCCAGUUAUUUAUGAUUGCAUGUCUUCAAAGCUGUGGGACAAGAAGCAGUAGUCAAAAUCUAAGCAGCAGAGGCCAGGAUAUCCUGACUUUUAGUUCCCAUAGGUCAAGCUCCAAAAAUACUGGAUCCUACAACAAGUCCAUAAACGUCAUAGGCUAACUGUCUCAACAGUUUUAACUCCUGCAGACACUGAUUAUCAUAAUCAUCAGUUAAAAUCCUGGCUUUGGUUUAACCUCAUUGUGAGUGUGUGAAUGUUACUGAAUGGUUAGAGAAGAGAAAUAAACUGUUUUUUGGAUUCAUUUGCAGUAUCAGGAAGAUGUGGUUCAGAAUUAAUACUUGAUGCCAUUGGGGAUCCCUAAUCCCCAAAGGGAAACUCUUUCAAAUCCAGUUGGUACAACCUUCAAUGUAUUGUCUACAAAACCAGAUACAAAUUGAAACUGACCCUUAAAAUUAAAUCUAUUUGUGUCUAAGAAAGAAAAGAAACCUGCUCCACCUCUAUUACCUUGUCAGACGCCGACCUUUGACCUCAGGGGAGAUCAGUCACUUCUUCAGUACUGUCUCACCCAGCAACACCAUUUUGCUACUUUCAAAGGCUGCGCCUUGUGUUUGAUCUCCUGUUAAAGUCCUCCGUGACCAAAGAGAACACGUGUGCCAUCAUCUGGAAUGAUCUGCAUACAUCAUCAUGAGCGUCUGCUGAGAUCCUCUGGGAUGCUCCUCACUUGGUCGUAAAGAUGAAGAUGCUUCAGACCUUUGACCUCAUCUCAUCUCAGCAGAGUAAAGGCCAACAUUAAAGCUAUCCUUAAAUGGUGGCCCUCCAUCCUUUCAGUAUGAACCACAUUAGGAAGUAAUCACUUAAGAGGAACUUCAGUUUCAUCAUUACAGAACAAAACACUGAUUGUAAGUGGCUCUACAGAGUCGCUGACUGGAGUCGAUCAGUGAAGACAACUUUUCUUCGCUCUGUUCAACAUGAAGCCAAAACUCAACUGGUCACCCAAACUCAACAUGGCCUAUCCUCUUUCACCACCACAUGUCACUCCUGCACACAUGGUUCCCUUCACACAUCAAACAUUCCUCGCUGACGACUCACUGGAGGUUAGCAGCAAUUAGCUGGGGAAUGUGUUUUCCAUGUGAACCAUGGUUCAUUUAGAAACUGAUCUUGGGUACAUGGACUGGGUCAGAACCUGGUGAUGCCAUUUCUGAUCUGAAUAAGCAGAAACAGGCCAGGCUGGAGUGAGCAAGUAUGCAGGUUAAAAGAUUGUUGCUAACUUGCAUCAAGUUUAAUUGGAUUGGGAGCAUAGUGAAGCAGGUCUUCGUAGGAAGUUUGUCUUUCUCAUUACAGACUAAUUUUGGACAGUUUGGGUGUAUUUUAGUGGCACAGAGACAAAUAUAAUGUUUUACAUUCACAUGCAUUUUUUGUAAUGUAUGCUAUAUUCUACGUGGUGUGUAGUAUAUACUACAUAUUGCUGCUGUAUAUUUGAUUUAGCUUGUAUACCUUUAAAUAACUAUAACCAUAUUUAUAUUAGUUAUAUACAGUAUAUAUACAAACAUUUCUUGAUCUGUUUCCUACCUCUUUAGACUGUUUCUUGCACUGCUGUAACAUGUGAAAGUCUUAUCUUGUUUUAUCUUUGUGUCAAAAUUUGUAGACAUCCAAUAUAUAUGAAUUCCAACCAAAGAAUUUUUUUACCUUUUGACCAUAGGUUAUAAUAAUCCAUCACAAUAUUUUCACACAUGUAACACUACGACUGAGUUAAACCCACAGUGACAUAAAAAUAUGAAACCAGCGGGAACCAUUGGGCUAGCAUGUGUCAUUUCACGCACCAUUACCUUGCCAUAUCGUUCACCAGAGUAAGUGUAAUUGCGUUGACAGGCUGUUGGUAUCUAUUAUUAUAGUAUUGUGUUGCCGCUGCUACACUGACCACACGCAAGGCCAUAAUUCAUGCAGUCAGUUUGAUGAAGCUAAAGAGCAACUAGUCCACCCUACUUUUCCCCCUUUUCAAUCCCCUCUUCCUCUUAAAUCCCUCCUUGUGCUGCAAGGGUUGAAGCUUCCAGUAAUCAGUCUGUCUCGUUUGGCUUGGAUUACAUGUCAGAAGGACUUUAGUGGCACUUGAGGAAAAUGCACAGGCCUUCUCAAUCCUGAGGGCAAAACACAACAUAGUCCGGGGCUGUUUCAAGACCAAACUGUACUGUGAUUGUGUUGGAGCAUGCAUGUUAAUGAUGAAAUAAAUAAUCCAAUUAAUUAAUUCUAUAACACAUAUAUGAACCAAUACAUUGUAAAUCAUUUAAAAAAUUAUUAAAACUCAACAUAUUAUUAUGAAAUUUUCAUUCUCAUUUUCAUAAUAACAGAGAUUUAUUGGAGUUAAUUUUUAUUGCAUUAUAGAAAUGUGUAUUUCAAAAGUCUGUUUUCUAUUUCCUGUUUGCUAGACCAACAGUGUCAAAGUAAUUCUGAAUCCACCAACUAGACACUGCUGCUGUAAAUAAACACACUAGGCACACAGUAACUAACUCCUCCUAUUAUUUAGCUUAACAAGGCUACAUAUGCUAUGGUACCUAGCUAGACAGCUAACUAGCUAGGUUUUCACAUGAGCACGGAUUAUUACUCAGCAUCAAAGUGACAAAGUUAAUGACAGCGGCUUGCUACUUAAUUUAGAGUUACCGCGGCAACAUUUUGAUUUCAAAGAUGUUCCUCAGAGAAAGACACACAACUCUGUAAAGAUCAAAAAGACAGACAGGCUUUCUCUGUUGUCACUCCACCCAACAUGAGCUAGCUAACAAUGCUAACACUUGCUCUUCCGUUUCAUGCUGAGUACUAAUCCAAGCUCAUAACCUAGCCUAGCUAGUUAGCUGGCUACGUUGGUAGCAUGUGUAGCCUUGUUAAGCUCAAUAAAAAGGAGAGUUUAGUUACUGUGUUUGUGUACUGUUUUUAUUUACAGCAGCAGCCUCUAGUUCAUUGAUUUAGAAUAACAUUGACAUCAUUGGCAAGUGUGUGUGUGUGUGUGUGUGUGUGUGUGUGUGUGUGUGUAUUAAGAUUGAGUUUAUGUAUCUGUGGUUGCAAUUGCAUGCACUCUUAGGUUUGUGUGUGCAUUGUUGGAUCAGUACAGAGGAUGAAUGGAUUUGAGCUUUAUUAUUGGUUUUACUGUUUGUUUGAUGUAGCAAUUUUGUCACAUUAAGUAUAGUACAGUAUACAGUAUGUAUUAGUAUACAAGGAACAUUCAGUAUUUCUCAGGAUUGUACAUUUCAGUCCUGGUGCACUAUGCACUACAUUACCAGGCCAUUUAAAAAAAAACAA